rnacentral:lncRNA from 1 species
UGGAAUCUCGAAUGUAAGAAAACAUUAUGUUGCAAUAGUAUUACUCAGGCAAUGCAUAUGAAUGAAAUUUAUAAAAUUCAUGGAGAUAUCGAGUAACCGUCGUCGUCGCCGAUGAGUCGGGGCUGCUACGCAUGAGCCGUUGGCUGGAGAAAACUGCCACGCCACAUGCCUGAAGGCGUCAUUGCGCUUGUACUGGGAGAUAGGCGCGCCAUAGCUUAUAAGCCCGUCGUCGCGUGUCGGUUGUUUGUUGCUGGUGUUGGACGCGGACAUCGCUGCGCCGCAUGCCUGAAGAAACCGCGUU